UACGAAGGGGGCUAGCGUUGCUCGGAAUCACUGGGCGUAAAGGGUGCGUAGGCGGGUCUUUAAGUCAGGGGUGAAAUCCUGGAGCUCAACUCCAGAACUGCCUUUGAUACUGAAGAUCUUGAGUUCGGGAGAGGUGAGUGGAACUGCGAGUGUAGAGGUGAAAUUCGUAGAUAUUCGCAAGAACACCAGUGGCGAAGGCGGCUCACUGGCCCGAUACUGACGCUGAGGCACGAAAGCGGUGGGGAGCAAACAGG
rnacentral:rRNA from 1 species